rnacentral:rRNA from 1 species
GAUGAACGCUGGCGGCGUGCUUAACACAUGCAAGUCGAACGGAAAGGCUCCUGCUUGCCGGGGUCCUCGAGUGGCGAACGGGUGAGUAACACGUGGGUGAUCUGCCCUGCACUUCGGGAUAAGCCUGGGAAACUGGGUCUAAUACCGGAUAGGACGAUGGUUUGGAUGCCAUUGUUGAAAGUUUUUCGGUGUGGGAUGAGCUCGCGGCCUAUCAGCUUGUUGGUGGGGUAAUGGCCUACCAAGGCGUCGACGGGUAGCCGGCCUGAGAGGGUGUACGGCCACAUUGGGACUGAGAUACGGCCCAGACUCCUACGGGAGGCAGCAGUGGGGAAUAUUGCACACUGGGCGCAAGCCUGAUGCAGCGACGCCGCGUGGGGGAUGACGGCCUUCGGGUUGUAAACUCCUUUCGCUAGGGACGAAGCGCAAGUGACGGUACCUGGAGAAGAAGCACCGGCUAACUACGUG